UUAAAGUAGCUUAUCUAAAGCUUUGAUGUUUUAAAUCAACCAUGAUCUAAUGAUCCUUUAAU
rnacentral:tRNA from 1 species